rnacentral:rRNA from 1 species
GACGAACGCUGGCGGCGUGCCUAAUACAUGCAAGUCGAGCGGACCAAAGGGAGCUUGCUCCUGGAGGUUAGCGGCGAACGGGUGAGUAACACGUGGGCAACCUGCCUGUAAGACUGGGAUAACAUCGAGAAAUCGGUGCUAAUACCGGAUAAUAAAAGAACUGCAUGGUUCUUUUUGAAAGAUGGUUUCGGCUAUCACUUACAGAUGGGCCCGCGGCGCAUUAGCUAGUUGGUGAGGUAACGGCUCACCAAGGCAACGAUGCGUAGCCGACCUGAGAGGGUGAUCGGCCACACUGGGACUGAGACACGGCCCAGACUCCUACGGGAGGCAGCAGUAGGGAAUCUUCCGCAAUGGACGAAAGUCUGACGGAGCAACGCCGCGUGAGUGAUGAAGGUUUUCGGAUCGUAAAACUCUGUGUUAGGGAAGAACAAGUGCCGUUCGAAAGGGCGGCACCUUGACGGUACCUAACGAGAAAGCCACGGCUAACUACGUGCCAGCA